GAGAAAGACAAGUUUGGUUUGGGACAAAUGAGUGUGAGGGCCCCAGCCUCUUGGCUGGCCAGUGAACACUUCCAAGAACCUUCAUACUUAAUACCUCUAUCACUCCUCCACUCAACAGGUGAGGAAACAUCAGUCCAGUGAGAGUGGCAUGUGUGGGGAGGAGCCCAGGCUUGCUCUGACCUCUCUCUGGGGCCCCCCACUCCAGAAGGUUGGAACAGCAUUCUACAGCAUUCCAGGAUGUGGAGGGGGCAGCAGUGUUUGUGUGCAGAGUGGCGAGGCCGACCUCCGAUGAGCUUCCCGUAGGAAGGGUGCAGUGGGGGGUGCUCACCCUGCCCAGGGAUGCUAUCUGCUCCAGGACUUGUUUAUCAGCCCACGGGGUGAUCGGCAUGACAUCAAUGGAUAUGCCAGGCUGCAGGCUACAGUGCCGAGAAGGAGAAGACGGAGGCGGUGGUGAUGUCACCCAAGGAAUUAAGUAAGCAGGGGAGCUGAUAACAUCGUCCAGCCAGGCUCACUGUGGGCAGGGUGACUCACUGAAGACGGCCUGCGAUCGCCAGGUGAUUGUUGUUGUGCCCAGCCUGUGGGGCUGGGGAGGAGGAAGGGGGGCAGGCCACAGAGCUGUGACAAGUUCCUCACCGAGGCCCCUGCUCAGGGGAGAGACCUCAGUACACAGUGUCCUCCACCUCUGAGCCCGGGGCUGGCUCAGGAAACAGCCCCCCUCUGCCUGUGCGAUUAUCUUUGUCCACAGUGUUUGGUGUGUGUUUGUGGGGUGUGUCAGGUGAUUUUCCUGCCCGAAGCCUGCUGGGUGCUCCAGGUACUAGCGAUUGCUCACAGCAGAGCAGUAGCCCCCUCCCUGGUUGGACAACUGUCUGUGGAGACAACACCGGAUGGCAAACUGCUAACCGCAACCACGUGGCGUCCUUACAGAGGGAACAGCCUGUUCCUCCCGCUGAGGGCACCUGCAGACCUGCCCCAUUCAUGGCUCCCUUCUCCCUCAGUCCCUGCUGAGGGGAUGGUCCCUUCCCACCCUUAAGGGCACCAUGGACUGUUGUCCAAGUUGAGAACUGUCCAACUGCAGGGGGCACCAUUCACUUGGCAGUCUUCGUGCCAGAUGCUAUGGCUGUCCACAGUGGCCCUGCCCCUUCCCUUUUGUAAAUUACUUCUCAGUUCCCUCCUCCACCAGAAUUAUCACACCAAACUUUCCCCCAUGUAUGCUUGCUUCUUUAUCACCUGACACUCUCAUUCAUUCAUUCCACAAAAAAAUUGUGGCGUUUGUGCAAGGUACUAUUCUAGGCAAGGGAACAAGACAGACCCUCCUGGAGCUCAUGGAGUUCAUAUUCUAGCAUGGGGGAGAACCAAUAAAUAAAUAAUUGGAUACAUAAAACUGCAAGUGACAAUAAGUGCUACAAAGAAAACUAAAGCCAGCCCAGGAUAGAGGGUGAUAGUGCCCUACUUCAGCUAGGACUGCCAGAAAGGCUUCUCUGUGGGGAGGUGGCCUCUGAGGGGAGACCUGGAGGCAGCAAAGGAGGAAGCCUUCCCGGCAGAGCCCCUCCCAUUGGCACCCAAUGCCAAAAGAAGUUUCUAUAACCCGUCCUGGUUCUGCCAGGAGCCUGCGGCAUGGCCUGGGGCGCUCAAUUCCCAGUGCAGGGUGUCUAUUUCUUCCCCCAACAAACAAGAGGCCUAGUCGCAUAGUCUCUUCCAGCAC
rnacentral:lncRNA from 1 species